rnacentral:rRNA from 1 species
GACGAACGCUGGCGGCGUGCCUAAUACAUGCAAGUCGAACGCAGUGGGGACGGGUGAGUAACACGUGGGUAACCUCCCAUCAGAGGGGAUAACACUUGGCAACAGGUGCUAAACCGAUACUGGAGGAUGGACCCGCGGGGCAUUAGCUCGUUGGUGAGGUAACGGCUCACCAAGGCCACGAUGCAUAGCCGAGCUGAGAGGGUGAGCAGCCACACUGGGACUGAGACACGGUCCAGACUCCUACGGGAGGAAGCAGUAGGGAAUCUUCGGCAAUGGACGAAAGUCUGAUAGAGCCACGCCGCGUGAGUGAAGAAGGGUUUCGGAUUGUAAAACUCUGUUGUUAGAGAAGCGUUAUCUAACCAGAAAGCAACGGCUAACUACGUGCCAGCCGCCGCGGUAAUAC